rnacentral:rRNA from 1 species
UUCGUCCAGGGGGCCGCCUUCGCCACCGGUAUUCCUCCAGAUCUCUACGCAUUUCACCGCUACACCUGGAAUUCUACCCCCCUCUACGAGACUCAAGCUUGCCAGUAUCAGAUGCAGUUCCCAGGUUGAGCCCGGGGAUUUCACAUCUGACUUAACAAACCGCCUGCGUGCGCUUUACGCCCAGUAAUUCCGAUUAACGCUUGCACCCUCCGUAUUACCGCGGCUGCUGGCACGGAGUUAGCCGGUGCUUCUUCUGCGGGUAACGUCAAUGAGCAAAGGUAUUAACUUUACUCCCUUCCUCCCCGCUGAAAGUACUUUACAACCCGAAGGCCUUCUUCAUACACGCGGCAUGGCUGCAUCAGGCUUGCGCCCAUUGUGCAAUAUUCCCCACUGCUGCCUCCCGUAGGAGUCUGGACCGUGUCUCAGUUCCAGUGUGGCUGGUCAUCCUCUCAGACCAGCUAGGGAUCGUCGCCUAGGUGAGCCGUUACCCCACCNACAAGCUAAUCCCAUCUGGGCACAUCCGAUGGCAAGAGGCCCGAAGGUCCCCCUCUUUGGUCUUGCGACGUUAUGCGGUAUUAGCUACCGUUUCCAGUAGUUAUCCCCCUCCAUCAGGCAGUUUCCCAGACAUUACUCACCCGUCCGCCACUCGUCAGCGAAGCAGCAAGCUGCUUCCUGUUACCGUUCGACUUGCAUGUGUUA